UACGUAGGUGGCAAGCGUUGUCCGGAUUUACUGGGCGUAAAGAGCGCGCAGGCGGCCAAGUCAGUCGAAUGUGAAAGCCCCUGGCUUAACUGGGGAGGGUCAUUCGAUACUGCUCGGCUCGAAGACAGGAGAGGGAAGCGGAAUUCCCGGUGUAGUGGUGAAAUGCGUAGAUAUCGGGAGGAACACCAGUGGCGAAGGCGGCUUUCUGGCCUGUUCUUGACGCUGAGGCGCGAAAGCUAGGGGAGCAAACGGG
rnacentral:rRNA from 1 species